GGGUUGUGAGGUUAAGCGACUAAGCGUACACGGUGGAUGCCCUGGCAGUCAGAGGCGAUGAAGGGCGUGCUAAUCUGCGAUAAGCGCCGGUAAGGUGAUAUGAACCGUUAUAACCGGCGAUACCCGAAUGGGGAAACCCAGUGUGAUUCGUCACACUAUCAUUAACUGAAUCCAUAGGUUAAUGAGGCGAACCGGGGGAACUGAAACAUCUAAGUACCCCGAGGAAAAGAAAUCAACCGAGAUUCCCCCAGUAGCGGCGAGCGAACGGGGAGGAGCCCAGAGCCUGAAUCAGCAUGUGUGUUAGUGGAAGCGUCUGGAAAGGCGCGCGAUACAGGGUGACAGCCCCGUACACAAAAGCGCAUGUGCUGUGAGCUCGAUGAGUAGGGCGGGACACGUGGUAUCCUGUCUGAAUAUGGGGGGACCAUCCUCCAAGGCUAAAUACUCCUGACUGACCGAUAGUGAACCAGUACCGUGAGGGAAAGGCGAAAAGAACCCCGGCGAGGGGAGUGAAAAAGAACCUGAAACCGUGUACGUACAAGCAGUGGGAGCACAGGUUUACCUGUGUGACUGCGUACCUUUUGUAUAAUGGGUCAGCGACUUAUAUUCUGUAGCAAGGUUAACCGAAUAGGGGAGCCGUAGGGAAACCGAGUCUUAACCGGGCGUUAAGUUGCAGGGUAUAGACCCGAAACCCGGUGAUCUAGCCAUGGGCAGGUUGAAGGUUGGGUAACACUAACUGGAGGACCGAACCGACUAAUGUUGAAAAAUUAGCGGAUGACCUGUGGCUGGGGGUGAAAGGCCAAUCAAACCGGGAGAUAGCUGGUUCUCCCCGAAAGCUAUUUAGGUAGCGCCUCGUGAAUUCAUCUCCGGGGGUAGAGCACUGUUUCGGCUAGGGGGCCAUCCCGGCUUACCAACCCGAUGCAAACUGCGAAUACCGGAGAAUGUUAUCACGGGAGACACACGGCGGGUGCUAACGUCCGUCGUGAAGAGGGAAACAACCCAGACCGCCAGCUAAGGUCCCAAAGUCAUGGUUAAGUGGGAAACGAUGUGGGAAGGCCCAGACAGCCAGGAUGUUGGCUUAGAAGCAGCCAUCAUUUAAAGAAAGCGUAAUAGCUCACUGGUCGAGUCGGCCUGCGCGGAAGAUGUAACGGGGCUAAACCAUGCACCGAAGCUGCGGCAGCGAACGUAUCACUUAAAGCGAUUCAGCGGGUUACGAUUGACGGAGCGAAGCGACGUCAAAGCGUAUACAAAGUCGAGUCGGUUUAAGGAUACGUUCGUUGGGUAGGGGAGCGUUCUGUAAGCCUGCGAAGGUGGCCUGUGAGGGUUGCUGGAGGUAUCAGAAGUGCGAAUGCUGACAUAAGUAACGAUAAAGCGGGUGAAAAGCCCGCUCGCCGGAAGACCAAGGGUUCCUGUCCAACGUUAAUCGGGGCAGGGUGAGUCGACCCCUAAGGCGAGGCCGAAAGGCGUAGUCGAUGGGAAACGGGUUAAUAUUCCCGUACUUGGUGUUACUGCGAAGGGGGGACGGAGAAGGCUAUGUUGGCCGGGCGACGGUUGUCCCGGUUUAAGCGUGUAGGUGUGUGUUCCAGGUAAAUCCGGUUCACUUUAACACUGAGGCGUGAUGACGAGGCACUACGGUGCUGAAGCAACAAAUGCCCUGCUUCCAGGAAAAGCCUCUAAGCAUCAGGUAACAUCAAAUCGUACCCCAAACCGACACAGGUGGUCAGGUAGAGAAUACCAAGGCGCUUGAGAGAACUCGGGUGAAGGAACUAGGCAAAAUGGUGCCGUAACUUCGGGAGAAGGCACGCUGACACGUAGGUGAAGUGAUUUACUCACGGAGCUGAAGUCAGUCGAAGAUACCAGCUGGCUGCAACUGUUUAUUAAAAACACAGCACUGUGCAAACACGAAAGUGGACGUAUACGGUGUGACGCCUGCCCGGUGCCGGAAGGUUAAUUGAUGGGGUCAGCGCAAGCGAAGCUCCUGAUCGAAGCCCCGGUAAACGGCGGCCGUAACUAUAACGGUCCUAAGGUAGCGAAAUUCCUUGUCGGGUAAGUUCCGACCUGCACGAAUGGCGUAAUGAUGGCCAGGCUGUCUCCACCCGAGACUCAGUGAAAUUGAACUCGCUGUGAAGAUGCAGUGUACCCGCGGCAAGACGGAAAGACCCCGUGAACCUUUACUAUAGCUUGACACUGAACAUUGAGCCUUGAUGUGUAGGAUAGGUGGGAGGCUUUGAAGCGUGGACGCCAGUCUGCGUGGAGCCGACCUUGAAAUACCACCCUUUAAUGUUUGAUGUUCUAACGUGGACCCGUAAUCCGGGUUGCGGACAGUGUCUGGUGGGUAGUUUGACUGGGGCGGUCUCCUCCUAAAGAGUAACGGAGGAGCACGAAGGUUGGCUAAUCCUGGUCGGACAUCAGGAGGUUAGUGCAAUGGCAUAAGCCAGCUUGACUGCGAGCGUGACGGCGCGAGCAGGUGCGAAAGCAGGUCAUAGUGAUCCGGUGGUUCUGAAUGGAAGGGCCAUCGCUCAACGGAUAAAAGGUACUCCGGGGAUAACAGGCUGAUACCGCCCAAGAGUUCAUAUCGACGGCGGUGUUUGGCACCUCGAUGUCGGCUCAUCACAUCCUGGGGCUGAAGUAGGUCCCAAGGGUAUGGCUGUUCGCCAUUUAAAGUGGUACGCGAGCUGGGUUUAGAACGUCGUGAGACAGUUCGGUCCCUAUCUGCCGUGGGCGCUGGAGAACUGAGGGGGGCUGCUCCUAGUACGAGAGGACCGGAGUGGACGCAUCACUGGUGUUCGGGUUGUCAUGCCAAUGGCACUGCCCGGUAGCUAAAUGCGGAAGAGAUAAGUGCUGAAAGCAUCUAAGCACGAAACUUGCCCCGAGAUGAGUUCUCCCUGAGACUUUAGGUCUCCUGAAGGAACGUUGAAGACGACGACGUUGAUAGGCCGGGUGUGUAAGCGCAGCGAUGCGUUGAGCUAACCGGUACUAAUGAACCGUGAGGCUUAACCUUACAACGCCGAAG
rnacentral:rRNA from 1 species